GAUGAACGCUGACGGCGUGCCUAAUACAUGCAAGUCGAGCGAACGGACGAGAAGCUUGCUUCUCUGAUGUUAGCGGCGGACGGGUGAGUAACACGUGGAUAACCUACCUAUAAGACUGGGAUAACUUCGGGAAACCGGAGCUAAUACCGGAUAAUAUUUUGAACCGCAUGGUUCAAAAGUGAAAGACGGUCUUGCUGUCACUUAUAGAUGGAUCCGCGCUGCAUUAGCUUGUUGGUAAGGUAACGGCUUACCAAGGCAACGAUGCAUAGCCGACCUGAGAGGGUGAUCGGCCACACUGGAACUGAGACACGGUCCAGACUCCUACGGGGGGCAGCAGUAGGGAAUCUUCCGCAAUGGGCGAAAGCCUGACGGAGCAACGCCGCGUGAGUGAUGAAGGUCUUCGGAUCGUAAAACUCUGUUAUUAGGGAAGAACAUAUGUGUAAGUAACUGUGCACAUCUUGACGGUACCUAAUCAGAAAGCCACGGCUAACUACGUG
rnacentral:rRNA from 1 species